rnacentral:rRNA from 1 species
GAUGAACGCUGGCGGCGUGCCUAAUACAUGCAAGUCGAGCGAACAGACGAGGAGCUUGCUCCUCUGACGUUAGCGGCGGACGGGUGAGUAACACGUGGAUAACCUACCUAUAAUACUGGGAUAACUUCGGGAAACCGGAGCUAAUACCGGAUAAUAUAUUGAACCGCAUGGUUCAAUAGUGAAAGACGGUUUUGCUGUCACUUAUAGAUGGAUCCGCGCCGCAUUAGCUAGUUGGUAAGGUAACGGCUUACCAAGGCAACGAUGCGUAGCCGACCUGAGAGGGUGAUCGGCCACACUGGAACUGAGACACGGUCCAGACUCCUACGGGAGGCAGCAGUAGGGAAUCUUCCGCAAUGGGCGAAAGCCUGACGGAGCAACGCAGCGUGAGUGAUGAAGGUCUGCGGAUCGUAAAACUCUGUUAUUAGGGAAGAACAAAUGUGUAAGUAACGAUGCACGUCUUGACGGUACCUAAUCAGAAAGCCACGGCUAACUACGU